AUUGAACGCUGGCGGCAUGCCUUACACAUGCAAGUCGAACGGCAGCAUGAUCUAGCUUGCUAGAUUGAUGGCGAGUGGCGAACGGGUGAGUAAUACAUCGGAACGUGCCCUGUAGUGGGGGAUAACUAGUCGAAAGAUUAGCUAAUACCGCAUACGACCUGAGGGUGAAAGUGGGGGACCGCAAGGCCUCAUGCUAUAGGAGCGGCCGAUGUCUGGUUAGCUAGUUGGUGAGGUAAAGGCUCACCAAGGCGACGAUCAGUAGCUGGUCUGGGAGGACGAUCAGCCACACUGGGACUGAGACAGGGCCCAGACUCCAACGGGAGGCAGCAGUGGGGAAUUUUGGACAAUGGGGGCAACCCUGAUCCAGCAAUGCCGCGUGUGUGAAGAAGGCCUUCGGGUUGUAAAGCACUUUUGUCCGGAAAGAAAUCGCACUUACUAAUAUUAGGUGUGGAUGACGGUACCGGAAGAAUAAGGACCGGCUAACUACGUGCCAGCAGCCGCCGUAACAC
rnacentral:rRNA from 1 species